AGAUUAGCCGACGUCAUGAAGUGGGCGGGGCCAACGUGGAGACUCUCGUGGCGGUAAAUUAUGCAAAUAAACAAUACUGUAAUCAACACGGACAACACAAAAUGGCUCUUAAAAGCGUCCCCAUCAAGCAUAGAUCAACAUCAGUCCCAAGCAAAAGCUGUAGCAGAUGCGUUGGAGCUAACGUUAGCAUCCCGGAGGACACAGGUGCAGCUAACGGACGCCAGGAAACUUCGGUACCGAUGGACCCGUGAAAGUCUGGUUUCUAUCCCUCGCGCCGUUUUGGUUCAAACUAAGUCAUUCAUUUCUGAAAGACGCCACAAAGAGAAACUUGACUAUUUGGAAACGUUAAUGUGGGCCUCGCUGACGUCGGGACAACAUGGCGGCUGUGACGCUCUCUCGACCGUUGGCUGGAGAUGAAGAUGGAACUGGAGAAGAUGCAGUGACGUCUAAUGGUGAGACUUCCAUCAGUCACCUUGGCCACGCCCCCUCUGAUGUACAUAUUAGGAGGAAACGUGCUGAGCGUGACGUGGAACCUGUGGGUACUACGGUAACGCUGCCUCCCCCUGUCAGCACCACUGCGGCCUGUGCAACCUCUGAGACUGUGCUACGGAAGUGUUAAAGCAAACACAACCUUGAUGCUGAAGUUGCAAACUGUAAACACUCAGCACGAGUCAGAGACCCUCCUCGUCUGUGUGACCCAGAAACUCUUGGUGCUUUCAUCUUGCCAGCUGGCUCUAUUCUACAGCAUCAAAUGACAACAAAACACAUCCCCAGGCACUUUCCAUAACAAGCUCAAGACCAAACAACUCCAGCGAGAAACCAACAAACCCUGUGUCUCCUUUCAUUUACUUGGCUCCCGCUUCCUUUGAGUCGGCUCUUGAUGGGAGACAAGCAGUACAAAGGGAGGGAACGGAAAUGAGCAGUGGGAAAGACAAAUUCAAUCAACACUACAUCUGUCAGCACGCGUGGGAGCGCUUGAUGAUCCCCUAGGAUGAGAUGAAGGAGGCUGCAGGGAGAAGCGCACAGUUCAGGCUGGUGUGUGUCCACAGCUCCCUGAUCCGAGUGAAUGAGCAGCCGCUGGAGGGAGAGGGGCGCUCCAGCAGAGGGCGCUGUCCGCCUGCACAAACACAGUCACAAAGACAAACAAGCCCAACAUGACUCCUUGGUAGCUUUGCUUUAAUAUGAAUGCAUUAUGUUGUGUUCAGAGAGAUACUUUUUAAUACACACGGUAGUAAAACGUCAGCAGCAGCAGAGAAUGAACCACCUUUAAAGGCACAAGGUGGAGGUGGAGAACGCUCCGCAUUCACCCCUCCCAUUCUUCACACAUCUCAAAAUCUAAAAGUUUCCCAUUUGGACACUUUCAAGUCAAUGUCAUCCCCGCAGCUACGAAUUUCACACUUCCGGCUGCAGGAAGUGAGCUUUUGAAGUGGAGAUGAUUCGCUUGCUCGUUUAGCUGCUUCUCCUUUGGAUUCAAGCGCAGCUCGUUGGAGAGCACAGUUAAUGGCUCAUCCGCAGAAGAGAAACAGUAGCUCCCCGGCAGUCGGUGUCAGAGAGUGGACUGGUCUUUGACUCACAGUCGCCCGUUGGACAAAGAGGAGCCGACGGCACAGGAGCGUGUGAUUCUCUGUGCUGCGGUGCUGCAGGUGCCGAAGUGCUGCUUUCAGCCUGGAAGGAGCAUGUAAAGCGGGCGCACGCAACUGAAAAGGCCAAAGUGGACAGUAAAUACAAAUCUGUGGCCGAACGGAAAAGGACAAAUGUCAGGGCACCACAAAACACAGCAGGGAGGCUGCACACGAGAGUGUACGCUAUUUCCUACAGGUUCCUGCAGCUGCUGUCAAACCACAUAUUUAAUGGAUCUGACUCCAUGCAAACCCGAAGUGGCUGACCUCAUUCUGCAGGAUUGAUGCAUUGUGGGACCUUGUGAUCAGAAGACGCCGCUGGGGGAGAAACAGGAGCGAAGGAGGAACCGCUGGUCAUUGAGAUGGAGAUGAGAAGGAAGUGGACCUGCCUACACACGCACGCAAACGAUGGCGUGCGGCACUUUGUCAUCCGUGUCCAGCUGGAGCGGAUGCGAGCGGCGGGCCGGCGAGUGAAGCGCUCCACCGCUGUCUGGCAGGAACAUGACGAGGCUCUCAGCCUUUGUUCCAUCAGAAGCCCUGUUACACACCGGAGUACUACACAGUACACGGCUUUUUAAGAUUAUGAUGUCAGGGCAUUGUGGGACUGCUCUCUGUAAAAAAACAAAACAAAGCCGUGCACAUUAUGCAAUACUUUUGUGUUACUGUAAUAGUAUUAUGCGAGAGGAAGCACUAUAAAUCUUUGAUCCCCUGAAUAUCUGAUGAAAAAUACUCCAACAGAUGAUUUAAUCACACGCACAAUACACCGUCUGCACUUGUGUUGUGUAUUUGCAGGCCAGUAGAGGUUCUAAGUAACAACACAAAAAGACACACAAGCUUCUAAAGCAGCCUGUCCGUCAGAGCUAUGCUGAAAUGAGGAGGAUCUCAUAGGGAGGAGGACGGAGGACAGGGAGCAGCGGAGGAAUUUGAGAAAAUGUGUAAGCGCUGGAAAACAUCUGGGGACACAAGGAAUCUAACAGCUGACAGCCCGAAAACACACCACCUAUGUUAUCUGCGGCCUCCCCCGAGAUGGUGGGGGAGAGAGGAGAGAUGAUGGGCCCAUUAUCAGCAAUCACAGAUGACACCUCUCGCCCUCCGCGAGGAUUCUACGGCAGGCAGCGUUUUCCUCACAGGGCUCCGCAAUCAUCACCGCUCCCCGAGGGCCGACGUAAUCCUCAGACAAUAAGGCUUAAUUUCACAUAUCGCUCGCCCAACCGUUGGGCGUCCACAAUUAUAAUCACCCAUCAUAUGCGCUCACACCUGUAUUUAGCCGUUCCGAUUAUAUUCAUUAUAUUUCAUUAAUGCAGCAAAUAGAAUGUAUGAAAACAUUUCCCCCGCGCUCUCGCACAUUUCUGAGCUGUGGCUGUUUUUCCAUCACACGCUGUGACACCGUGUGUUAUUAGGGCUGCUUUCGUGCAGAUACUGUGUGUUUGGAGUGCAUUAAAUUUUCAAGUGUCCACAGCGUGACUCCACCAAACUGCAUUGACUUAACACUUUUCCCCUGACCUCUGGCAUAUCCCCCUUGACUCCCUGGACUGAUAUUGAAUGGAGCGGAGCUCUAUUCCUUUUACCUUCAGCAACUUCCUGUUGCGGUUUUGUGAGUUCAAUUUUCCAGCCCCAUUGAAAAGAGUGUCCCUAUUGUAUUAUUUUUGAGUGUAUUUGUAAGAGCUAAUCCAGGACGUGACGCAUGGGUUAGAUCCAUAUUGAUGUGAUAUUAGAAGGUACAGGCUAUAGAACCUGACACUUAACGCACCUACUGCUUGACUUUAUGUCUAAAAUCAUUUCUAAACGCAUCCUUUUAUACCGUGUCCACACUUUAUCAUGUAGAUGCUCUUGCUGUGUGUUUGUAUUUGAAAUAUCAGCCCAGGGUUUUGCUGCAUCGCUCUGCUGCUGUUUCCACCGUAGGAAAUAUUAAAUUUAUAUACUGUAGUUUUUUUCUAAUUUCACAGUGCCCAUGAAUCCACGCUCUCAAGAUCGUAUAUUUUUUAUACCAAGGACCAAUCAAUAGACACUCAUCCAAUGAUAGAGGCCCGUUUAGGCCUUGGCUGAAGCUCUUCUUUGUCACUUUAAUUGGAAACGAAGUAAAAAUAACCUGUUAAUGUCAUUUUGUGUGAGACCUCUUGGAAUCGAUUCAAGAGCCUCUGACGUGUGUGAACCUUGGGGAGAGAUUUGUGACAAGUGCUGCUUUGCCAGUUGCUGUGGCGCCACCUGUUGGUGAAGUGUAGAUAAAGCUGUGCUUACUGAAACCACACAACAAAGGAAACGCAAUAAAAAAGGGAUGAACGCAAUAGAAAUUGCAUGGAAUGUGGAGUGUAGAGCAUUCAGUUCUGUGCACACUAACAAAACUUGAUCUUCAGAUCAAGCAGAGAAUAACAUUUUAUAUUUUACACCCAUGUGUUGAAUGUGUUUGUGACAAAGGCGUGGUUGCAGUAAAUAGUUUGGUGCCGUGUCUGUUUUCUUAGGUUUGUUAAAUACAGAAGGCAAAAUAUUUAGAAUCACUUGAUUACAGUGAUUAAUCUGAUGAAAUGGAUUUCUUGCUGCUUUACCUCAUUAACAGCUGAGGUGUGACCUCAACCCUCAAACAGAGGCUAUGACGGUCUCAGGUGUAUUUUACUCAGAAGCUCAUUGAAUGGAACGUCAUCAAUAUUUACCGUUGGACAAAAAAGCAAAAACAAGAAACACAUAGAUCAACAAACAAAACAAAUCCAAGAAGAAAGCAUGUAGUUUCAUUUUGAGCCUCAUGGGGUCGCUGCUGUCUAACAAAAGAAAAGCGCGAGGUCGCCUUCACCAUUGUUCUAUUUGCUCCCCCUCUCCUGCCACUCAGGUGGGAGGAGGACGCCAACGAGCAAUUCCAAAAGUUGUGUGCGAUACCACACGGAAUCUAAAGAACAGUCACGUGACGAGAGCGGGAAAGCGUCGACGCUCUGACUCGGAGGUUUUAGGUCGCGGCAGCACGACGCACAGGGCGCGAGCGCGUUCCUCCCCGUUAGUCACAUCCCGGCGGCGGCGCCCGGUGAAAUACGCUCCGGUAAUUUGAUAAUGAGUUCCGUUCUGUCACACAGAUUUCAGAGGGCUCGGCGUUUAAAUAUUUAACACCGCGGCAGGAGGCGUAAAACAUUCUUUUUUUUUUUUGCCUCACUUUGUUAAAAACACACUGGAAGCCAUCAUUUGAAAAAGGCUACAAGCCCUGGCUGUAAAAAUCAAAGAGCUGUCUGCCAGAGCAGCUAUUUACUGCCUCCUCCACGCGGCCUGCAGCUGAUGGGAGCGAGAUAAAGUCUUGACAUGUUCACUAAGGUCAAUUGCUGUGUGGUGUCUGUCUGUACCCAGAUGCCAGGAGGGCUCCCUGCCCUCUUAAUUAAAUACUGCACUCCCAUCUCACACUCCUCAGCAAACUAAAGACAUCCUCUCUCCUCCCGACGAAUCCAACGCUAACGAACAAGCAAACAAGCGGACAAUCGCAACUUGUGCCGCGAACCCUCGGCGGGUUUUGAGAAACCACCUCGCUAAUCUGAUGCGGAGGGGUCUCUGCGGGUUCCGGCGUCGACUCCGGUGGCUCGAGAGCCAAAGUAAUUGGCCCGGUCGGAGAGGUCGUUGUGGAACAUAAUGGAAAAGUAGCCGCGGAGGGAGUGGAACUUACAUUUAACCAAGCUGGAGCGCGGAAAUGACAGGAAGAGAAGGAAUUCCUCAGCUUUAGGAUUGAUUCAAUCAGAGGCACAGCACUGUGAAUAAUUACCAUCACCUACAUGUGUGACAAUCAAAAGCUGACAUUUUUAUUCUUUUUUUUAAGGUAAUUGUUUUAAAAUUAAACCCAAUCUAACAGGGAGCUACUUUGAUUGUGGAGUGUUGCUACUUUGCCUGCUCCUCCCUCCAGAAACAGGUUGUUACAGAAUUCCCCACAGAGACGAGACAAACAGUGGAUUGUAAAAGUGUGGCAGCCGAGCACUUGAGCUUUAUUUAGCUGUGCGCCUUUAAUUCACGGGGGGAUUGGGUGCAACAUUGAUUGUUCACAAGCAUGGCAUUAAAAAAAAUGGAGGCCUGUAUGAUGUUGCCACGGUAACGCACAUUGUGCCUUUAAUGACAGCCUCUGCUCACAUCAUCCUGGUGAUCAUUUACAGCCAUUAGUCGAAUCCAACUUCCACCGCUCCGAUUCUCCAUUAACUAAGACGUGUCGUGUUUUGUCGUUCGCGGGCUCCACGUGUUAAUUAGCCCACGCCGCGCGCGCCCGCGUCGCCGCGUCACGUUGCCGGACGCCCUUUGCGCGUGCACGCGUCUCCCCGUUCUGUCCCCGUUCCGCACCAGCGGCGAUCGUUCAGCUGACCAUCAUCUCUCCGCCCGCUCCCGUGCGGAUUCAGUCAUAAAGCGGGGAAGCGCGCUGGCGGAGCGGCAUGAGUAUUUCUAUCACGUUUAUCAGACCAUCCACCAUCCAAACAGUUAUGGAGUUGCUUUCAUUUUCAGCUCAUAUUUGUACAGCCUUAGGCAGUAACCCCGAGUAAUACCUAGUGGCAGGCAGGACUCAGAUAGUUGUACAUCACUGACGCAUUAAUGUCUCCACUCAAUUAAGGUGAGAGAGCGUAUUUGUGAAAUGUUAUUCCACUUAAUAGCUGGGGUUUCUUGCUGCCAUUCACAAUCAGCGCCUCGUCUGGAUACGCGUGCAUGGAGACGGGAACAUAUGCCGGCGACUUCACCCGGCCUAAUGCGGCUGCAUGCGUCGAGCGUGCACGCGCCGCGUGCUCGUGCUCGGGGGGGAGGGGCUGAGAUAAUUACCCGCAUCUGCGCGAGAGGACGUGCAGCCGUUAAUGCAACUGAAGAUCCUCCUAAAAUAGAGACACAUUAUCACCUAUUAAACGGUUUGGAAAGUGAUAGCAAUGCUUUUGACGCGCGCACACACAGCCCCCCGUCUGUUCAUCUCGGCGCUGAACUCCGCAGACUGGAUCGACGAUCACCUUGCGCCAUCUGCGCAUGUUUGCGCGGCCUCUCGCGAACCUCCCUCGGUAAACGACGCCGCUGUUGGGAGGAUUCAACGAGCGCUGCGAGUUCGGGGAGAAUCUUUGAAAGUUUAAUUUUGGCCUCAGCGCUCCUUUGCUCAAAGAAGAGGUUUGUAUAUCGUUUAAGCUCCUGGAAGUGACACGCGCUACACGGCUCCUUCCUUUAAACAAUGUUCUUUUUUAAGUUUAUUUUGACCCAGUGGAAUUUCAAAGAGAGACCGCACCAGCUGUGGGCAACCUCACAGGUCCCCGAGUACUUAAAAGGACCACGAAUUCAUAUAUUUGGGGAUUGUUUUGGGGCCUUGGAUUUUACAAAAACUUCAAAGUAUAAUGGGAUAAUUAUUGCACUUACCACCAGAGGGAAGGAGCGGUGGAGAGAGGGAAGCGCUCACUGAGACAGACAGGGGCUGGGAGGGAGAGAGGGAGUAAUGAGCGUUCAAAAUAGACAAUAAAUGUAAUAGCGUGCAAAUUGAAUGGAAAUAUGCUUUCACAGGCACGCAAAAUCUGUCAUUAUUAUUAUCAACUUUGAUGCCGCCGUCCUGUCCCCUUUAUUCAUUUAUUUAAUGGGAUUUCUUUUACACUAUUAGAGUUUGAAGGCUUCUUUCGCCGUCCAGGCAGCAGGCAAACAGCUGGCGCGAGCGCGGCGCUGAUAGCGUUGCAAUCGAUUUCUGCGAAAUGUCAGGAAACGCGCGGGUCCAGUGCCAUUUAAUGCGCGGCAGAUGAGAGCUGAAGGUAAGGGUUUGUGUUAUCACUCAUGUGUCACAGAAUGUGCAGAAUGACAGGGUGGCGCCCGGGGUUUAAUUGGCGCUAACGCCGGCGCCGCAGUCUCCUAGGCGAUGGCCAGUCAAUGCGAGUCAAGAGCGGCACUCAGCGCUUUGAAGGGAAGCGGUUAUAUUUACUUACCGAGAUGGAUUUGGGGGAGAACUCUUCUAAAGCCUCACGACAGUCUGGAGAGUGGUGGGAAGUUAGGAGUUCAAAAGGAAUAAAAACAGAAAACAAUAACGUGAGCACACACAAAUCACGACCAGUCAACACCGGGCUCCUCCUGAGCAGCACAAAUCCACAGCUGAUAAAAUCUGAUUUUCACCACUAAUAAAACGGAGCCUGUGAUCGAUAUCUCGACCGAGGAGCCGGCGCAACUGAACAAACACGAUUAUGCAAAGCAGCCUCGGCGUCUAUUAGUUAUCGUACAUGUGAUCACGUUAUCGCACGGCCGCGACAACGGGGCUGGUGGAGCCGUGCACAAAUACAGACAUGGAUGUUUGAGAGAAACAAGACCUGGCGAUUGAUUUAAAACAUCUGAGUUGACAAAAAACCAUUAAUACUAAUUAGUGCAGUAAUUGACCGGGAGGGGACAGGCGGCCCUAAUCAACCUGCCCGCUUUAAGGUUUAAGGACGUGAGGAGAUUAUUCUUUUGGAUCUCCUAAAUGGGUUUGCAGGGGGAGAGACAUUAAUCACGGGCGCCCUCUGGUCAGGAAAUAGCUCCAUAGAAAAUAUCCACAACCUUCUCAUUUCAGCACAAAGAUUUCUGGGACGGCUGUAAAGCCCCGGCGUCAUGAAUGGCUGGCCCCGCUCCAGGCCCAUUAAUGAUGUGAUGACUGAACCCUCAUUCACAGAAUACCACACUCAAAACGUCAUAUGAGGUUUGUUGGACCGAGGCGUGUUAACGUUUGGACUUCCCCCCGACACGUUGGUGUAUGAUGAGG